GACGAACGCUGGCGGCGUGCUUAACACAUGCAAGUCGAACGAAGAGCGAUGGAAGCUUGCUUCUAUCAAUCUUAGUGGCGAACGGGUGAGUAACGCGUAAUCAACCUGCCCUUCAGAGGGGGACAACAGUUGGAAACGACUGCUAAUACCGCAUACGAUCUAAUCUCGGCAUCGAGGAUGGAUGAAAGGUGGCCUCUACAUGUAAGCUAUCACUGAAGGAGGGGAUUGCGUCUGCUUAGCUAGUUGGGGGGGUAACGGCCCACCAAGGCGAUGAUCAGUAGCCGGUCUGAGAGGAUGAACGGCCACAUUGGGACUGAGACACGGCCCAGACUCCUACGGGAGGCAGCAGUGGGGAAUCUUCCGCAAUGGACGAAAGUCUGACGGAGCAACGCCGCGUGAGUGAUGACGGCCUUCGGGUUGGAAAGCUCUGUUAAUCGGGACGAAAGGCCUUCUUGUGAAUAGUGAGAAGGAUUGACGGUACCGGAAUAGAAAGCCACGGCUAACUACGUG
rnacentral:rRNA from 1 species